rnacentral:rRNA from 1 species
AUUGAACGCUGGCGGCAUGCCUUACACAUGCAAGUCGAACGGUAACGGGCCUUCGGGUGCCGGCGAGUGGCGCAGGGGGGAGUAAUACGUCGGGACGUGCCCGAUCGUGGGGGGGAACGAGUCGGAAGCUGUGCUAAUACCCCAUACGCUCUCCGAGGGAGAGCGGGGGGCCGCAAGGGAUUUCGCGGACGGAGCGGCCCAUGGGGGAUUAUGUAGUUGGUGGGGUAAAAGCGUACCAAGCCGACGAUCUGUAACUGGUCUGAGAGGAUGAUCAGCCACACUGGAACUGAGACACGGCCCAGACUCCUACGGGAGGCAGCAGUGGGGAAUAUUGGACAAUGGGCGCAAGCCUGAUCCAGCCAUGCCGCGUGUAGGAUGAAGGCCUUCGGGUUGUAAAGUGCUUUUGUACGGAACGAAAAGCCUUAUGUUAAUACAGGACGGUCAUGACGGUACCGUAAGAAUAAGCACCGGCUAACUACGUG